GACGAACGCUGGCGGCGUGCUUAACACAUGCAAGUCGAACGGUGAAGCGCCUUCCUUUUUGGUGGGUGUGGAUGAGUGGCGAACGGGUGAGUAACACGUGAGUAACCUGCCCCCUUCUUCUGGAUAACCGCAUGAAAGUGUGGCUAAUACGGGAUAUUCUGGGUCUGUCGCAUGAUGGGUCUGGGAAAGAUAUUGUUUCGGUGGGGGAUGGGCUCGCGGCCUAUCAGCUUGUUGGUGGGGUGAUGGCCUACCAAGGCGGUGACGGGUAGCCGGCCUGAGAGGGUGGACGGCAACACUGGGACUGAGACACGGCCCAGACUCCUACGGGAGGCAGCAGUGGGGAAUAUUGCACAAUGGGCGCAAGCCUGAUGCAGCGACGCCGCGUGAGGGAUGGAGGCCUUCGGGUUGUGAACCUCUUUCGCCAGUGAAGCAGGCCUGCCUCGUUUGUGGGUGGGUUGACGGUAGCUGGAUAAGAAGCGCCGGCUAACUACGUG
rnacentral:rRNA from 1 species